rnacentral:rRNA from 1 species
UACUAGAGACCGGCGCACGGGUGCGUAACGCGUAUGCAAUCUACCUUUUACAGAGGGAUAGCCCAGAGAAAUUUGGAUUAAUACCUCAUAGUAUAGCGACCUGGCAUCAGGAUGUUAUUAAAGUCACAACGGUAAAAGAUGAGCAUGCGUCCCAUUAGCUAGUUGGUAAGGUAACGGCUUACCAAGGCGACGAUGGGUAGGGGUCCUGAGAGGGAGAUCCCCCACACUGGUACUGAGACACGGACCAGACCCCUACGGGAGGCAGCAGUGAGGAAUAUUGGACAAUGGGCGCAAGCCUGAUCCAGCCAUGCCGCGUGCAGGAUGACGGUCCUAUGGGUUGUAAACUGCUUUUGUACAGGAAGAAACCCUUUCACGUGUGAGAGAUUGACGGUACUGUAAGAAUAAGGAUCGGCUAACUCCGUGCCAGCAGCCGCGGUAAUACGGAGGAUCCAAGCGUUAUCCGGAAUCAUUGGGUUUAAAGGGUCCGUAGGCGGCCAGAUAAGUCAGUGGU